GGCUCAGUAACACGUGGAUAACCUACCCUUGAGACGGGGAUAAACCCGGGAAACUGGGUAUAAUACCCGAUAGAUCUCGACUGCUGGAAUGCAUCGAGCUUGAAAGCUCCGGCGCUCAAGGAUGGGUCUGCGGCCUAUCAGGUAGUAGUGGGUGUAGCGUACCUACUAGCCUACGACGGGUACGGGUUGUGAGAGCAAGAGCCCGGAGAAGGAUUCUGAGACACGAAUCCAGGCCCUACGGGGUGCAGCAGGCGCGAAAACUUUACAAUGCUGGAAACAGCGAUAAGGGGACCUCGAGUGCCAGGUUACAAAUCUGGCUGUCGUGAUGCCUAAAAAGCAUUGCAUAGCAAGGGCCGGGCAAGACCGGUGCCAGCCGCCGCGGUAACACCGGCGGCUCGAGUGGUAACCGUUAUUAUUGGGUCUAAAGGGUCUGUAGCCGGCCGGAUAAGUCUCUUGGGAAAUCUGGCAGCUUAACUGUCAGGCUUUCAGGAGAUACUGUCUGGCUCGAGGCCGGGAGAGGUGAGAGGUACUUCAGGGGUAGGGGUGAAAUCUUGUAAUCCUUGAAGGACCACCAGUGGCGAAGGCGUCUCACCAGAACGGACCUGACGGCAAGGGACGAAAGCUAGGGGCACGAACCGGAUUAGAUACCCGGGUAGUCCUAGCCGUAAACGAUACUCGCUAG
rnacentral:rRNA from 1 species